rnacentral:rRNA from 1 species
AUUGAACGCUGGCGGCAGGCUUAACACAUGCAAGUCGAGCGGGGGAAGGUAGCUUGCUACUGGACCUAGCGGCGGACGGGUGAGUAAUGCUUAGGAAUCUGCCUAUUACUGGGGGACAACAUCUCGAAAGGGGUGCUAAUACCGCAUACGUCCUACGGGAGAAAGCAGGGGAUCUUCGGACCUUGCGCUAAUAGAUGAGCCUAGGUGGGAUUAGCUAGUUGGUGGGGUAAAGGGCUACCAAGGGGACGAUCUGUAGCGGGUCUGAGAGGAUGAUCCGCCACACUGGGACUGAGACACGGCCCAGACUCCUACGGGAGGCAGCAGUGGGGAAUAUUGGACAAUGGGGGGAACCCUGAUCCAGCCAUGCCGCGUGUGUGAAGAAGGCCUUAUGGUUGUAAAGCACUUUAAGCGAGGAGGAGGCUACUUUAGUUAAUACCUAGAGAUAGUGGACGUUACUCGCAGAAUAAGCACCGGCUAACUCUGUGCCAGCAGCCGCAGUAA